rnacentral:rRNA from 1 species
GACGAACGCUGGCGGCGUGCCUAAUACAUGCAAGUCGAACGCACAGUUUAUACCGUAGCUUGCUACACCAUAGACUGUGAGUUGCGAACGGGUGAGUAACGCGUAGGUAACCUGCCUGGUAGCGGGGGAUAACUAUUGGAAACGAUAGCUAAUACCGCAUAAUAUUGAUUAUUGCAUGAUAAUUGAUUGAAAGAUGCUAUUGCAUCACUACCAGAUGGACCUGCGUUGUAUUAGCUAGUAGGUGAGGUAACGGCUCACCUAGGCGAGGAUACAUAGCCGACCUGGGAGGGUGAACGGCCACACUGGGACUGGGACACGGCCCAGACUCCUACGGGAGGCAGCAGGAGGGAAACUUCGGCAAUGGACGAAAGUCUGACCGAGCAACGCCGCGGGAGUGAAGAAGGUUUUCGGAUCGGAAAGCUCUGUUGUAAGGGAAGAACGGGUGUGAGAGUGGAAAGUUCACACUGUGACGGUAUCUUACCAGAAAGGGACGGCUAACUACGUG